CGGAAUCUGCCUAUUUGUGGGGGAUAACGUAGGGAAACUUACGCUAAUACCGCAUACGACCUACGGGUGAAAGCGGAGGACCUUCGGGCUUCGCGCAGAUAGAUGAGCCGAUGUCGGAUUAGCUAGUUGGCGGGGUAAAGGCCCACCAAGGCGACGAUCCGUAGCUGGUCUGAGAGGAUGAUCAGCCACACUGGAACUGAGACACGGUCCAGACUCCUACGGGAGGCAGCAGUGGGGAAUAUUGGACAAUGGGCGCAAGCCUGAUCCAGCCACGCCGCGUGGGUGAAGAAGGCCUUCGGGUUGUAAAGCCCUUUUGUUGGGAAAGAAAAGCAGUCGGUUAAUACCCGAUUGUUCUGACGGUACCCAAAGAAUAAGCACCGGCUAACUUCGUGCCAGCAGCCGCGGUAAUACGAAGGGUGCAAGCGUUACUCGGAAUUACUGGGCGUAAAGCGUGCGUAGGUGGUUUGUUAAGUCUGAUGUGAAAGCCCUGGGCUCAACCUGGGAAUUGCAUUGGAUACUGGCAGGCUAGAGUGCGGUAGAGGGUAGUGGAAUUCCCGGU
rnacentral:rRNA from 1 species